ACGCUCGACACCUACGGGAGGAGCAGUGAGGAAUAUUGGUCAAUGGGCGCAGGCCUGAACCAGCCAAGUAGCGUGAAGGAUGACUGCCCUAUGGGUUGUAAACUUCUUUUAUAUGGGAAUAAAGUUUUCCACGUGUGGAAUUUUGUAUGUACCAUAUGAAUAAGGAUCGGCUAACUCCGUGCAGCAGCCGCGGUAAUCUGAGCGGGCUGGCAAGGC
rnacentral:rRNA from 1 species